rnacentral:rRNA from 1 species
UACGUAGGGGGCUAGCGUUGUCCGGAAUCAUUGGGCGUAAAGAGCGUGUAGGCGGUCCGGUAAGUCCGCUGUGAAAGUCGGGGGCUCAACCCUCGAAUGCCGGUGGAUACUGUCGGGCUAGAGUGCGGAAGAGGCGAGUGGAAUUCCUGGUGUAGCGGUGAAAUGCGCAGAUAUCAGGAGGAACACCAACGGCGAAGGCAGCUCGCUGGGACGGUACUGACGCUGAGGCGCGAAAGCGUGGGGAGCAAACAGG